CGGAGUGUAGCGCAGCCUGGUAGCGCACAUCGUUCGGGACGAUGGGGUCGCAGGUUCAAAUCCUGCCACUCCGA
rfam:Mesorhizobium sp. Root157 contig_2, whole genome shotgun sequence.